CGCGUAGGUGGUUUGGUAAGCGAUAUGUGAAAUCCCCGGGCUCAACCUGGGAACUGCAUGUCGAACUGUCAGGCUAGAGUAUGGUAGAGGGGUGUGGAAUUUCCUGUGUAGCGGUGAAAUGCGUAGAUAUAGGAAGGAACAUCAGUGGCGAAGGCGACACCCUGGACCGAUACUGACACUGAGGCGCGAAAGCGUGGGUAGCGAACAGGAUUAGAUACCCUGGUAGUCCACGCCGUAAACGAUGUCAACUAGCCGUUGGGGGGCUUGUCCCUUCAGUGGCGGAGCUAACGCGAUAAGUUGACCGCCUGGGGAGUACGGCCGCAAGGUUAAA
rnacentral:rRNA from 1 species